rnacentral:rRNA from 1 species
CCUAGGGUGGCAGCAGUGGGGAAUAUUGGACAAUGGGGGGAACCCUGAUCCAGCCAUGCCGCGUGUGUGAAGAAGGCCCUCGGGUUGUAAAGCACUUUCAGUGAGGAAGAACGCCUGGUGGUUAAUACCCAUCAGGAAAGACAUCACUCACAGAAGAAGCACCGGCUAACUCCGUGCCAGCAGCCGCGGUAAUACGGAGGGUGCGAGCGUUAAUCGGAAUUACUGGGCGUAAAGCGCGCGUAGGUGGCUUGAUAAGCCGGUUGUGAAAGCCCCGGGCUCAACCUGGGAACGGCAUCCGGAACUGUCAAGCUAGAGUGCAGGAGAGGAAGGUAGAAUUCCCGGUGUAGCGGUGAAAUGCGUAGAGAUCGGGAGGAAUACCAGUGGCGAAGGCGGCCUUCUGGACUGACACUGACACUGAGGUGCGAAAGCGUGGGUAGCAAACAGGAUUAGAUACCCUUGUAGUC